UCAUCAGUAUCUGUCAUUUGGUGUCAGAAAUAGUGCCUGUCUUAGUCACAUUUCCAGUGCUGGGAUAAAAUGUCUGAUGUUCACAAUUUACUUCUAUUUCUUUCUCUUUUUUUUUGGUGCCAGGGAUUGAACUCAGGACCUCACACUUACCAAGCAGGUGCUGUCCCUCUAACUUAUAUUCCUGGCAUGACACAAUUAAAAGGAGAGGUUUGGCUCACAGUUUCCAUGAGUUCAGUCCAAUGGCUGACUCCAAAGCCGAAAUGGCCUGGUGGAAGGGUACGGCGGAGGACAGCUGCUCAUCCACUGGGGCAGGAAGCAGAGAGAGGAGGGAGGAGGAGCCAGGGGCAAGACUAUAACCUUCCAGUUCGUGCUCCCAGUGACUACCUCUGACCAGAUCUUGCUGCCGAGCAAUACAUUCAGCUAUGGACUCAGCAAUGGACGAACCUACCGGUCUGGAGUCAUUAAGCAAGGAUUAGCUGGAUAAACAGAGGAAGUGAUUUUUAAACUGUUUGCAAACUUAAUGUGAAGAGCCCAGCCUUGCAAAUUAUCACGUCUAAUCAAAGGCCCUCGCUUCACUGCUCUAGUAAUUGUACUGGUAUUAGUCAAAUUCUUGUUGUCUCCUCAUUAGCCGUGGAAAGGAGACUCAAGACGUACUUCAUUAGAGUGUCCUGGAAAUAUAUUGCUAAUGCAGAGGUGGGGGAGGGGUGGGAGGCGAGGAGAUGGGACCAGAGCGUGUAACAUCCAUAUCUGACACCAUGGACACCACCUCUCUCAGCGUCCGUGUCACAGAGGCCCCAUCCUUUACCUGAAGAGGCACCUAGGUGGCCGAGGCAGGACCAGCGACCCAGAGCUAUGAGACCCAUCUGCUGCACCGCACCCUCACCAUCCCUUCCUUCUCUGGGCUCCGAUCUUGCGGGGGGCACAAGGAGGGUGGAAGAGCUGGAGUCUGAGGGUCCUUCCUGCCUGAGUUCUCGGCCUGUGGUCCUAAGCAUUGAGGCUUUGGUCACAAUGAGCGCGUGUUGUUUGCUUGAUUCCUAGGGCUUAGACUCCCCCAGGGCUGGGCUCCAUCGUAAGGCAGGCAUAAGCCAGAUGCCGGUCUGUGGCCACCCUUGCUGCGGUCUGACAGGAGGAUGAGUCCAUCCACCACUUAAGUCCAUUCCUAUGUGGAGUCCAAAAUGCAGAUCUUGCGGAAGCUGAAAGAGAAAUGGUGGUUACCAGAGGCUGGGGAGAGAGGAUGGAGAAUGGAGAGAGUUGGUCAAGGGGUGCAAUAUUGUGGUUAGACAGGGAGGGGGUGUAAGUUCUGGGGUUCUGCUCAGUAGGGUGAGGAUAGUUUAAGGAAUUGAUAAAUCCUUAAGGCAAUGGAUUGAUUACCCUUACUUGAUUGUUGCACAAUGUAUACAGACAGAAACAUCACACUCUACGUCACAAACAUGUACAAUUUUUAUGUGUCCCAUCAAAACUACAGAAAAGGAGUGGGUGUAUCAGCAUACUCUUUUUUCCUUGCUUUCUAUUUAUGGAAUGUCUAGUCUGGUAGCUAAAGUUUAAAUUCAUUGAAAUAAAAUAAAAUUAAGAAAUCA